rnacentral:snoRNA from 1 species
UCCCCCUUGGGGUCGCACCUGGAGAGUUGCCAGUACUCUACCGGUCUUGGCUACGGGAGGAAGAGUCAAGCAGUAGCACACCCAUUCCAUUCCUAGCUUGGGCAGCGGCUAGCCAGUGGAAGGCAAUCUGCUACAAGU